rnacentral:hammerhead_ribozyme from 1 species
AUCCAGCUGACAAGUCCCAAUUAGGGCGAAACACGCAUCCUGGAU